rnacentral:rRNA from 1 species
UACGGAGGAUCUGAGCGUUAUCCGGAUUUAUUGGGUUUAAAGGGUGCGUAGGUGGAUUGGUAAGUCAGUGGUGAAAGUUUGCAGCUUAACUGUAAAAUUGCCGUUGAAACUGCCGGUCUUGAGUGCAAAUGAGGUAGGCGGAAUGCGUCGUGUAGCGGUGAAAUGCUUAGAUAUGACGCAGAACUCCGAUUGCGAAGGCAGCUUACUGGGAUGCAACUGACGCUGAGGCACGAAAGCGUGGGUAUCAAACAGGAUUAGA